GAGAGAGAGAGAGAGAGAUUGAAAAGGAGGAGGGGAGGAGAAGAGGGAAAGAGAAUGGAUUAAAAGCAAAGCAGAGAUGGAGAGAGAAGAGACCCAGAGGUAAAGAGAAAGCAGAAACCAGAAUCAAGACAGGAAGUUAUUGCAGAGAGAUUUUGUCUUCAAAGAGACCACGACUGAGACAAAAGGAGCAAAGGCUGGACGUGCCGGUGGACAGCAAUGGGCACACAGGGGGAAGGGCACCUGUCUCCAAAUUGAAGUUCCAGGCUGUGGGGGUCAGUGCGUAGGAAACGUGGCUUGAGCCGGCUCCCUCCAGUCCAGGGAGGGGCUGAGCUGGGCGGUGGGGGUGACUCAGGGCCCCAGAGCUUCCUGUGACUCAGCUUUGGUCUCAAUCUGGAGGGGGUUGGAGGGGAGGAGGGGUCUCAGUAAAAGGGAGGAAGUAAGGAGCACCAGAGGGCCUCUGUGCCUAGGCUGGCCCCUAGGAGGGGACUGCGAGCUACUGCAGGGACUGAGGGGAGGAGCAGACUGGGGGUGUGGACUCUGGGGCCCAGACUCCUGAGUCUGAGAAAGGAGGGGGCUGGGGGCCCAGACUCCUGGUUCAGAGAAACCAGAAUAACUGAUUCCAAAGUCCCUGGGACUUUUUGCUGGCCUCGUCCCAGCAGCCCCACCUUCCUCCCAGCCCCAUCUCCGGGUCUGGAACAGACCCAGGUGCCUUGGGGCCCAGCCGGAAGGGGCUAAGGACAAAGGGUUGUUUAACUGCUCAGGGAGUGAAGAAGAGGGUGUCUCAGGCGGAAAGGUCACUCGUCGCCCAGGGCUGGUGCAGGGAAAGGCGGGGCUGAGCCAGGGGUAAGACAUCCUGAAAGUCAGGCCUGUGGCUGCAAAUCCUCCAGGGCAGGCAGUCUUUUGGAUUAAGGCAGUGGGUGGCUUCAGGGCAUCGAGCUGCUGCCACCUAGUGGUGGACUUGGGAACUGCAGGAACUCUGCUGGUCUAGCCUAGUUUCCGGCCAACAUACAUUGAGCACCUACUGAGGCAGGUACUGCUCUAAGCAUUGAGGAACGCCAAGACUGCCAUGCUGUGAGGAAGCCCAAGCUAGUCACGUGGAGAGGCCGUGCAGAGAAGAAUCGAGGCACCUGGCCAGAAGCCCCAGUCCAGCCCCAACUAAAUGCAGCUGCAUUAGUGACCUCUAGAGAGACCAGCAAAGGUGCCCUUUAACCCUCAGCAUCAUGAGAAAUAAUGAGAAAAAACACUUUUUAUGUUAAGACACUGAAUUUUGGGGUGGUUUGUUACACAAUAACAAUAAAUGUUAUACUCUUCUGCUCACUUCUAUGUUUGGAGUUUUCCAUAAUAAAAGAAUACAUAUGAAUAUAUAUACCAUAUACAGGGAGCCCCCACCAAAAUGUAUACACACUUCAACAGCUGAUAGCUCAAUUUUGAAAAUGAAAUGUAUUUUAAUAAACACUGCCUUUAUAAUUA